UACGAAGGGGGCUAGCGUUGUUCGGAUUUACUGGGCGUAAAGCGCACGUAGGCGGAUCGUUAAGUCGGGGGUGAAAUCCUGGAGCUCAACUCCAGAACUGCCUUCGAUACUGGCGAUCUUGAGUCCGGAAGAGGUGAGUGGAACUCCUAGUGUAGAGGUGGAAUUCGCAGAUAUCAGGAAGAACACCAACGGCGAAGGCAGCUCGCUGGGACGGUACUGACGCUGAGACGCGAAAGCGUGGGGAGCGAACAGG
rnacentral:rRNA from 1 species